rnacentral:sRNA from 1 species
GUGCUGAGGCUCGCUGCCGGUUCUAA